AGAGUUUGAUCCUGGCUCAGAACGAACGCUGGCGGCGUGGAUUAGGCAUGCAAGUCGAACGGGAAAGUCCACUUCGGUGGAUGAGUAUAGUGGCGAACGGGUGAGUAAUACGUGAGCAACCUACCUUCCAGUAGGGGAUAAGGCCCGAAAGGCCGGUAAUACCGUAUACGUUCCUGUCACCGCAUGACGACAGGAGGAAAGCUGGGGAUCUUCGGACCUGGCGCUGGAAGAUGGGCUCGCGCUCUAUUAGCUUGUUGGUGAGGUAACGGCUCACCAAGGCUAUGAUGGAUAGCUGGUCUGAGAGGAUGGUCAGCCACACUGGGAUUGAGAUACGGCCCAGACUCCUACGGGAGGCAGCAGUCUAGAAGCUUCGGCAAUGGGCGAAAGCCUGACCGAGCGACGCCGCGUGUGCGAGGAAGGCCUUCGGGUCGUAAAGUACUUUCAGCGGGGAAGAACCACGCAGGGGCCAAUACCCCCUGCGCCUGACGGUACCCGCAGAAGAAGCUCCGGCUAACUCCGUGCCAGCAGCCGCGGUGAUACGGGGGGAGCAAGCGUUGUUCGGAUUUAUUGGGCGUAAAGGGCGCGUAGGCGGUUUGGUAAGUUCGGCGUGAAAUAUCCACGGCUCAACCGGGAUUCUGCGUCGAAUACUGCCGAACUUGAGUGCAGAAGAGGAGAGCGGAAUUUCCAGUGUACCGGUGAAAUGGGUAGAUAUCGGAAGGAACACCAGUGGCGAAGGCGGCUCUCUGGUCUGUUACUGACGCUCAGGCGCGAAAGCCAGGGGAGCGAACGGGAUUAGAUACCCCGGUAGUCCUGGCCGUAAACGAUGGGCACUAGGUGUGGGGAGGUAUCGACCCUUUCCGUGCUGCAGUUAACGCAUUAAGUGCCCCGCCUGGGGAGUACGACCGCAGGGUUGAAACUCAAAGGAAUUGACGGGUCCCCGCACAAGCGGUGGAGCGUGCGGCUUAAUUCGAUGCAACGCGAAGAACCUUACCAGGGCUUGACAUUACCGCAAGGUGCCUGGCCGCGGGUAAAUCCGUUGGUUUUAGGCAAACAGGUGCUGCAUGGCUGUCGUCAGCUCGUGUCGUGAGAUGUUGGGUUAAGUCCCGCAACGAGCGCAACCCUUAUCCUUUGUUACCAGCGGGUAAAGCCGGGGACUCUGAGGAGACUGCCGGUGAUAAACCGGAGGAAGGCGGGGAUGACGUCAAGUCAUCAUGGCCCUUAUGUCCUGGGCUGCACGCGCGCUACAAUGGCAGGUACAAAGGGUUGCGAAACCGCAAGGUGGAGCCAAUCCCAAAAAGCCUGUCUCAGUUCGGAUUGGGGUCUGCAACUCGACCCCAUGAAGUUGGAAUCGCUAGUAAUCGCGGAUCAGCUACGCCGCGGUGAAUACGUUCCCGGGGAUUGUACACACCGCCCGUCACGUGACCCGAGUCGGGUGCUCCCGAAGUCGCUCACCUAACCUUUCGAGGGUGGAGGUGCCGAAGGAGUGCCUGGUAAGGGGGACGAAGUCGUAACAAGGUA
rnacentral:rRNA from 1 species